GAGAAAGGCCGAGAGGCAAGAAAGCACUGCUAAUUCUUUUACCCAUGGUUAAACUCCAUGGCUUCCUCG
rnacentral:tRNA from 1 species